rnacentral:lncRNA from 1 species
AUGGCCCAGCCACUGGCCUUCAUCCUCGAUGUCCCUGAGACCCCAGGGGACCAGGGCCAGGGCCCCAGCCCCUAUGAUGAAAGCGAAGUGCACGACUCCUUCCAGCAGCUCAUCCAGGAGCAGAGCCAGUGCACGGCCCAGGAGGGGCUGGAGCUGCAGCAGAGAGAGCGGGAGGUGACAGGAAGUAGCCAGCAGACACUCUGGCGGCCCGAGGGCACCCAGAGCACGGCCACACUCCGCAUCCUGGCCAGCAUGCCCAGCCGCACCAUUGGCCGCAGCCGAGGUGCCAUCAUCUCCCAGUACUACAACCGCACGGUGCAGCUUCGGUGCAGGAGCAGCCGGCCCCUGCUCGGGAACUUUGUCCGCUCCGCCUGGCCCAGCCUCCGCCUGUACGACCUGGAGCUGGACCCCACGGCCCUGGAGGAGGAGGAGAAGCAGAGCCUCCUGGUGAAGGAGCUCCAGAGCCUGGCAGUGGCACAGCGGGACCACAUGCUUCGCGGGAUGCCCUUAAGCCUGGCUGAGAAACGCAGCCUGCGGUGAGCAGCCCCGACCCUGACCAUGCCGCCGCUGCUGCGCCCCCAGACCCACUUCCUCAGCUGGGCUAGGUGGUGGGG